GAUGAACGCUAGCGGCAGGCUUAAUACAUGCAAGUCGAGGGGUCAGCAAUGACACCGGCGGACGGGUGCGUAACGCGUAUGCAACCUACCUACAUCAGGGGGAUAGCCCUAGGAAACUGGGAUUAACACCGCAUAAUAUUAUUAAUGGCAUCAUUGAUAAUUGAAAUAUUUAUAGGAAGUAGAUGGGCAUGCGUAAGAUUAGCUAGUUGGUAAGGUAACGGCUUACCAAGGCUACGAUCUUUAGGGGCUCUGAGAGGAGUAUCCCCCACACUGGCACUGAGAUACGGGCCAGACUCCUACGGGAGGCAGCAGUAGGGAAUAUUGGGCAAUGGAGGCAACUCUGACCCAGCCAUGCCGCGUGCAGGAAGACGGCCCUCUGGGUUGUAAACUGCUUUUGAAUGGGAAGAAUGUGUGGCUUGCGAGCUAUAAUGACGGUACCAUUAGAAUAAGCCACGGCUAACUACGUGCCAGCAGCCGGGUAAAACGUA
rnacentral:rRNA from 1 species